AACACAUACACAAGGUCUUAACACUUGACUCUUUAACCACUGAAUAACAUUAGCGGAACUGAAGCACACUGCAUGUUUGCAAACAUAUAUUUUUAAUGACAGUGUAAAUCAUUUGUAACCCUGCCUACGAAAACAAGGCAAAAGUCUCGAGCAUCAAAGUUUGAUAUCAAUCAUUAGUUUCACUAUGAUUGAAAUUUUUGAGAUGCUCCUAGUCAAUAUUAAAUAUAAAAACGAUUAUAUCACAGAAUGUUCUUAACAUUAGGGUGAUUUUAUGUAGAAAACAAUAUAUCACAAAAUAGACUUUAGCUAGACUUUCACAGGCAGGGUCACGUGUGUUGUUCUUUCUGCAUGUGCUUUAUCCUUUAGGUUGGAUUUGUGACUGUGCACCCCUUCUAGUCAAAUAUUACUCUCAACCCGUUGUGCUAAUAAAAAAAACAAAAACAAAACAGUAGGAUAAUGGACAGUGAUGGCAUUACAUCUGAUCACCACCAGAGGGCUCUAUCUGUAUGUUGGAUUUGUAUUGAACACAAAAGACGAUCUUUUGAAGAAUACCGGUUUGAAACCAGGAUCAAUUUAGAGUCUCUGGAUGGUGAUUCAUAUAUUCACACUCCGCUGUGAGGUGUGAUGUUCACGGUCUUGUAUUUCACAGUCAACAACCAACAUGUCAUUCCUUGUGCUGCAUGCUGCAGUGCAUGACUAACAGCUG